rnacentral:piRNA from 1 species
UUAGAAAGUGAGUUUGGUUUGCAUGGUCUU